rnacentral:misc_RNA from 1 species
UCAAACUUGGUCAUUUAGAGGAAGUAAAAGUCGUAACAAGGUUUUCGUAGGUGAACCUGCGAAAGGAUCAUUCUCCAGCGAGUCCUCGAGGCUCCGCCCGCGCCGCCUUCUUCGAGGGCGGGUGCGACAUACUUUUACCGUGUUCCUUCCAGGCGGGGUGGCCUUCGUCGCCGCCUCGGCUGGCCCCUUCACCCUGUGCGGGGUGAAGUGGGUGGAGUCCGUCCCUCUGUACGUAAUUUUCAGUGUCCCGGUCUUUUGACGGUCGUCACAACUUUCAACAAUGGAUCUCUUGGUUCCGGCAUCGAUGAAGAACGCAGC